GAGCUCUCUGGUGCAGGAGAGCUUCGAGGAGCUGGAGAGGCAGCGGGAGCUGAUCACGAGCUGCACUCUUCUGUGGAAGGAGCUCUCCGACCACUUCUCCUCCAUGGAGCGCGACCUCCAGCUCAGGUCCGAGUCUCUCCGAUCCAAGCGCCAGUCCCUCGACCUCUCCACCCAGAGCUCCCUCGCCUCCCUCCACCGCCGCGAGCUCUCCAUCGACGGCGCCGUCGACCUCGCCCUCGCCAAGGUCGAGGAGCGCUGCGACGCAGCUCUCCUCGCGCUCUCCUCCCCCGCUUCCCCCGUCGACAACAACAACGACACCAACGAUCUCCCCGGCAAGCUCAGAUCUUUCUGCACCAGGAUGGACUCCGACGCCGUCUGGGACCUCGUCGUCUCCAAGCGGAAGGAGGUCGAGCUUCUCCGCUCUGAGCUCCCCCUGGCCCUCGCCGACUGCAUCGAUCCCGCCAAAUUCG
rnacentral:lncRNA from 1 species